GGACGGCUAGCUCAGCUGGUUAGAGCGUACGAUUCACAUUCGUAAGGUCACAGGUUCGAUCCCUGUGCCGUCCA
rnacentral:tRNA from 1 species